AAAAACCCAGGAAGCAAAAGGACAAAGAGAGACUGAGAGUAAGUAACAAAGAGAUAGAGAGACAGACAGACAUCAAACAAUACUGCAUGUGCUGAUUUAUCUGGCUUCAGCUCAUGGUGUAAGUAUGAAUGAUUGUGUGUAUGUAUGUAUAAAUGUAUCUAUGUAUGUGUGUGUGUACUGUGUAGUCGAAACUUGACACAUAUUCUUUCAUAGUGUGUGUGUAUUUACUUGUGUGCGUUUCCUAGAUAACACACACAUACACACACACAAUAUAGUCCAUACACAUCAAAAUAUACAUCACACACCCUUAAAUGCACACUAAUACACAUACACACAUACAUACACUCAAUAUAUCAUCAAAAUAUACACACUCAUACAAUCUUAAUACACACCAAUAGGCACACAGAGCUACCAACACUGAAAUACUAGCCAAGAAAUACAAAAUGGAAUAAAAGAAUCAAAAUGUACUUACCAGAGAGAGAAGGCGAGAGGGAGUGAUCCAAGCCUUAUUUUUCCAUAUUUCAAGUGUUUCUGAAGGGAUUUAAGGCAAUUUUUCCGCACCUAGUUAUUUAGAAAGACUUUAAAUAUAUUCCUGGUGUACUUUUGCGUAUAAUCUUGCAGCAAAGACUGAAAAUAACAGAAAAAGAAUCAAUAUAUAUUUACCAGCGAGAGAGAAGGGUAGUGAUCCAAGUUAUAUUUUUCCAUAUUUCAAGUGUUUCUGAAGAGAUUUACGGCUAUUUUUCUGCACCCAGUUAUUCAGAAAGACUUUAAAUAUAUUCCUGGUGUGUGUUUUGCCAUAAUCUUUAAGCACAGACGGAAAUAUCACUAAAAAUAUCCAAAGACACACACUUUGUAUUCAACGCGGGAGAGAGACAGAGAGACGAGCCUAAGAUUAUUUACAUUAACACGAACCUAAACUUUUUGUCAUACUAUAUAAAUCUUUCUCAUGGCGGUCAAAUUCUUAUGAUAUCAGUCAUUUUUUUAUCAUACUAAUUAAAUCUUUAUCAUACCAGUCAAACUUUUAUCACACAAGUUAAAUAUUUAUCAUUCUAGUUAAAUUAAUUACGUAUAAUCAAUUUUUAUCAUGUCUAUCAAUACACUAAAUUACAAUUAUAUACAUUUUAUAUAUUAUGGUUGUCUAUUCCUCACAUAUCAAAGGCUAUUGCGUAAUGCGAGAGAGAGAGAGAGAGAGAGAGAGAGAGAGAGAGAGAGAGAGAGAGAGAGAGAGAGAGAGAGAGAGAGAGAGAGAGAGAGAGUUGACAAAUAAAGACAGAUGGGUGAUAUUUUGGUAAUUUUAUUGGUUUUAAUGGUUUCCUGGGCCUGGUUACAUAUAUAUUAGUACAUUAUAUAAGACACUGUUGGUCAUACGUUAAGUACUAAGCGAAUUAUUUGAAGACAAGGGAACAUGUUUGACGGUAGCGGGUAAGCUGACCAAAUUGAAAGUUAUUUGAGGAUAGAUUAAAAGGCGAAUUGAAAGUAUACUGACACAAUGGAAGGAAGGAAGCAGAGAUAAACAGACGAAGUUAAUUGAACAUGACGCAGAGAUAGACAAAAACACUGAGAUAUUAAAGGCGAAUUGAAAGUAUACUGACGCAAUGGAAGGAAGCAGAGAUAAACAGACGAAGUUAAUUGAACAUGACGCAGAGAUAGACAAAAACACUGAGAUAUUAAAGGCGAAUUGAAAGUAUACUGACGCAAUGGAAGGAAGCUGAGAUAAACAGACGAAGUUAAUUGAACAUGACGCAGAGAUAGACAAAAACACUGUGAUAUUAAAGGCGAAUUGAAAGUAUACUGAAGCAAUGAAAGGAAGGAAGCAGAGAUAAACAGACGAAGUAAAUUAAACAUGACGCAGAGAUGGACAAAAACGUUGAGAUAUUAAAAGCGAAUUGAAAGUAUACUGACACAAUGGAAGGAAGGAAGCAGAGAUAUCCAGACGAAGUUAAUUGAACAUGACGCAGAGAUAGACAAAAACACUGAGAUAUUAAAGGCGAAUUGAAAGUAUACUGACGCAAUGGAAGGAAGGAAGCUGAGAUAAACAGACGAAGUUAAUUGAACAUGACAGACAGAGAUAGACAAAAACGUUGAGAUAUUAAAGGCGAAUUGAAAGUAUACUAACACAAUGGAAGGAAGGAAGCUGAGAUAAACAGACGAAGUUAAUUGAACAUGACGCAGAGAUAGACAAAAACAUUGAGAUAUUAAAGGCGAAUUGAAAGUAUACUGACGCAAUGGAAGGAAGCAGAGAUAAACAGACGAAGUAAAUUGAACAUGACAGACAGAGAUAGACAAAAACACUGAGAUAUUAAAGGUGAAUUGAAAGUAUACUGACACAAUGGAAGGAAGGAAGCAGAGAUAAACAGACGAAGUUAAUUGAACAUGACAGACAGAGAUAGACAAAAACACUGAGAUAUUAAAGGCGAAUUGAAAGUAUACUGACACAAUGGAAGGAAGGAAGCAGAGAUAAACAGACGAAGUUAAUUGAACAUGACGCAGAGAUAGACAAAAACGUUGAGAUAUUAAAGGCGAAUUGAAAGUAUACUGACGCAAUGGAAGGAAGGAAGCAGAGAUAAACAGACGAAGUUAAUUGAACAUGACAGACAGAGAUAGACAAAAACACUGAGAUAUUAAAGGCGAAUUGAAAGUAUACUAACACAAUGGAAGGAAGGAAGCAGAGAUAAACAGACGAAGUUAAUUGAACAUGACGCAGAGAUAGACAAAAACACUGAGAUAUUUUAAAGAUAGUGGAAUCAGACAGAAAAGACGAAAGAAAGGAAAGAUAACGGGGAAAAAAUAAAAGACGGAGAUAUUCUAUAAGUAUUACAUUGCACAGAAUUGAACGAAUCGAACUGCACAGAAUAAAUGAAAAAAUAAGGAUAACAAAGAGAAACAUAGAGAUAAUUCUAAAGAUAUUUCCCUGCAUAGAAUUGGACGAAUCGAACUGCACAGAAUAGAUGAAAGAAGAAGAAUAACAAAGAAAAACAUAAAGAGAUAAUUCUGAAGAUAUUUCACUGCAUAGAAUUGGACGAACCGAGCUGCACAGAAUAAACGAUAUAUAUAGAGAAAAAUUAAAAUACAGAGACAUUCUACGGAUAUUUGAUUGCAUAGAAUAUCGUGUGUUUUAAUUUUUGUAUAGUUUUUUUUAUUCUAAGAUUCAGUUAAGUUCGUUUUAUUGUUUUUUUUUAUGUGUGAAUGAUAAAUAUGAUGAGGGUAAGUUUGUUCGCCUUUCAGUGUUAUUUGUGAAUGGUGAAUGUAAUGUUUUAAGGUGGGUUUUUGGGCAUAUCAUGGUUUUUCAUUGUUUUUUUGUGAAUGAUGAAUAUAAUGUUUUAAGGUGGGUUUUUGGGCAUAUCAUUGGUUUUCAUUGUUUUUUUGUGAAUGAUGAAUAUAAUGUUUUAAGGUGGGUUUUUGGGCAUAUCAUUGGUUUUCAUUGUUUUUUUGUGAAUGAUGAAUGUAAUGUUUUAAGGUGGGUUUUUGGGCAUAUCAUUGGUUUUCAUUGUUUUUUGUGAAUGGUGAAUGUAAUGUUUUAAGGUGGGUUUUUGGGCAUAUCAUUGGUUUUCAUUGUUUUUUGUGAAUGGUGAAUGUAAUGUUUUAAGGUGGGUUUUUGGGCAUAUCAUUGGUUUUCAUUGUUUUUUUGUGAAUGGUGAAUGUAAUGUUUUAAGGUGGGUUUUUGGGCAUAUCAUUGGUUUUCAUUGUUUUUUUGUGAAUGGUGAAUGUAAUGUUUUAAGGUGGGUUUUUGGGCAUAUCAUUGGUUUUCAUUGUUUUUUUUUCUGAAUGGUGAAUAAAAUGUUGUUUUUAAGGAUAAGUUCACUUCAU